rnacentral:rRNA from 1 species
CAUGUGUAGCGGUGAAAUGCGUAGAUAUAUGGAGGAACACCGGUGGCGAAAGCGGCUCUCUGNUCUGUCACUGACGCUGAGGCUCGAAAGCGUGGGUAGCGAACAGGAUUAGAUACCCUGGUAGUNCACGCCGUAAACGCUGAGUGCUAGGUGUUAGGUCCUUUCCGGGACUUAGUGCCGACGCUAACGCAUUAAGCACUCCGCCUGGGGAGUACGACCGCAAGGUUGAAACUCAAAGGAAUUGACGGGGGCCCGCACAAGCGGUGGAGCAUGUGGUUUAAUUCGAAGCAACGCGAAGAACCUUACCAGGUCUUGACAUCCCGAUGCCCGCUCUAGAGAUAGAGUUUUUCUUCGGAACAUCGGAGACAGGUGGUGCAUGGUUGUCGUCAGCUCGUGUCGUGAGAUGUUGGGUUAAGUCCCGCAACGAGCGCAACCCUUAUUGUUAGUUGCCAUCAUUAAGUUGGGCACUCUAGCGAGACUGCCGGUAAUAAACCGGAGGAAGGUGGGGAUGACGUCAAAUCAUCAUGCCCCUUAUGACCUGGGCUACACACGUGCUACAAUGGUUGGUACAACGAGUCGCAAGCCGGUGACGGCAAGCUAAUCUCUGAAAGCCAAUCUCAGUUCGGAUUGUAGGCUGCAACUCGCCUACAUGAAGUCGGAACCGCUAGUAAUCGCGGAUCAGCACGCCGCGGUGAAUACGUUCCCGGGCCUUGUACACACCGCCCGUCACACCACGAGAGUUUGUAACACCCAAAGUCGGUGAGGUAACCAUUUAUGGGGCC